AUUGAACGCUGGCGGAAUGCUUUACACAUGCAAGUCGAACGGCAGCACGGACUUCGGUCUGGUGGCGAGUGGCGAACGGGUGAGUAAUGUAUCGGAACGUGCCCAGUCGUGGGGGAUAACGUAGCGAAAGCUACGCUAAUACCGCAUACGAUCUACGGAUGAAAGCGGGGGAUCGCAAGACCUCGCGCGAUUGGAGCGGCCGAUAUCAGAUUAGGUUGUUGGUGAGGUAAAAGCUCACCAAGCCUGCGAUCUGUAGCUGGUCUGAGAGGACGACUAGCCACACUGGAACUGAGACACGGUCCAGACUCCUACGGGAGGCAGCAGUGGGGAAUUUUGGACAAUGGACGCAAGUCUGAUCCAGCAAUGCCGCGUGCAGGACGAAGGCCUUCGGGUUGUAAACUGCUUUUGUACGGAACGAAACGGUGAGCUCUAAUACAGUUCGCUAAUGACGGUACCGUAAGAAUAAGCACCGGCUAACUACGUGCCAGCCGCCGCAGUAA
rnacentral:rRNA from 1 species